rnacentral:rRNA from 1 species
UACGGAGGGAGCUAGCGUUGUUCGGAAUUACUGGGCGUAAAGCGCACGUAGGCGGCUUUGUAAGUUAGAGGUGAAAGCCCGGGGCUCAACCCCGGGCCUGCAGCCGAUACGGGCAGACUAGAGUUCGGCAGGGGAGACUGGAAUUCCAGGUGUAGCGGUGAAAUGCGCAGAUAUCAGGAGGAACACCGGUGGCGAAGGCGGGUCUCUGGGCCGAUACUGACGCUGAGGAGCGAAAGCGUGGGGAGCAAACAGG